GUUAAUAACGUUGAUAUCAUGCAGUAUAUGUAUAUAAAAUGUUCUCAAAAGUAUUGAAAGUGUUGUUACGUGAAAUUUUCAAAUGGUCACAGUUUCCCAGAUACUUAAAAGCUCAAGCUGAAACUUGCUUUUGGCAGUAAAUAAGCAUUAAAAUAUAUUUGGAAUUUAAAACUGUUGCACACCUCUUUCGUACUGAUUUUGCUCGCCUGCUCAGCGUCUCUUAUUUUGCCGGAAUUACCAGUGUUGCGGAAAAUCACUAAAAUUCCUUUUGAUAUAACGACAUGCCACUUUAGUGAUCCUAACAUCAGCGCAUGGCUUCGAUCAACUAUAAAAUAUUGGAGUCGCGUUUAACAGAUGACUUCGCUGCCUUAACCAUACCGCCGCUGGAUCACCUUGAAAUUGAUCGAUUUAAAAUGUUCGCUGAAUUAGGUAAAGGAGUUCUGCAAUUGGAUCAUUUUCGUAUACUUGGACUUGAAGAAACCAAAUUUGAGGAACUGAUCUUUAAUGUAGAUGACAAUCACAUGAAAUUUAAAUUAAAACCGUACAACAGAUUUAUUUAUCACGAGGGUACGAAACAAACUUCGACAUAAAAAAUGGGAAAAAUCAAUACCGAAUGCUAUUUGAAUGGGACUUUGUUUGAUCUCCAGCUGGAUAUGACGGUGAAAGGGAUGUAGCAGAGCGUGAAGGUAACAAAUAUCUCCGAGAGGAUAAAUUCAGUUUUGAACCGGAUAUCAGUGAUUAGGAUUUCUAUGCGAAGCGAACAUUUUGAUAUAUGUAUAUCAAUGAAAAUUGGAGUAUAUAAUACAGGUUUUUAAUAGCCUCCAUUAAGAAGAAUUUUGGACCAAUUGCUUUACAUAUUUUAAACUUUUAUACUGAUGCAAUACCAUUUAAAUUGUUCAUUAAUAUCAUCCCAUAAACAUUCAAAAUAAUCUAUAGUAUUCUAAAAAAUAUAUAUUUCACUUAGCAGACCAAAAUUAAAUAGAA
rnacentral:lncRNA from 1 species